rnacentral:rRNA from 1 species
AGAGUUUGAUCAUGGCUCAGAUUGAACGCUGGCGGCAGGCCUAACACAUGCUAGUCGAGCGGUAACAGGAAGUAGCUUGCUACUUUGCUGACGAGCGGCGGACGGGUGAGUAAUGCUUGGGAACAUGCCUUGAGGUGGGGGACGACAGUUGGAAACGACUGCUAAUACCGCAUAAUGUCUACGGACCAAAGGGGGCUUCGGCUCUCGCCUUUAGAUUGGCCCAAGUGGGAUUAGCUAGUUGGUGAGGUAAUGGCUCACCAAGGCGACGAUCCCUAGCUGGUUUGAGAGGAUGAUCAGCCACACUGGGACUGAGACACGGCCCAGACUCCUACGGGAGGCAGCAGUGGGGAAUAUUGCACAAUGGGCGCAAGCCUGAUGCAGCCAUGCCGCGUGUGUGAAGAAGGCCUUCGGGUUGUAAAGCACUUUCAGUCAGGAGGAAAGGUUAGUAGUUAAUACCUGCUAGCUGUGACGUUACUGACAGAAGAAGCACCGGCUAACUCCGUGCCAGCAGCCGCGGUAAUACGGAGGGUGCGAGCGUUAAUCGGAAUUACUGGGCGUAAAGCGUACGCAGGCGGUUUGUUAAGCGAGAUGUGAAAGCCCCGGGCUCAACCUGGGAACUGCAUUUCGAACUGGCAAGCUAGAGUGUGAUA